rnacentral:lncRNA from 1 species
UAUGGCACAUCACCUAACGUUCCAAAUUUCAUGUUGUUGUUAUGGGGGAAAGUCAGAUAGAAAAGGUUGAGAAGUGAUAGUCUACAAAUACAAGAUUGUUAGAAAAAGUAUGCAGACCGAAUUUGAUAAGAGUUGUGCAGAGUAAAGAAUUUUGUUAACUUGAAAGUGGCUGCUCAGAAAAGAAAGGAUUGGUUGGGGGAAUCAAGGGAUCGACCAUGAGUUGUUUUGAUAUGGGAAGAUUAAGAUAAGGUAAGAGCUAAUAUCCAGAACUCCUUUCAGAGACUGUUCAGUAAAGAGUGU